rnacentral:rRNA from 1 species
AGAGUUUGAUCCUGGCUCAGAGUGAACGCUGGCGGCGUGCUUAACACAUGCAAGUCGAACGAUGAAGCUCUAGCUUGCUAGAGUGGAUUAGUGGCGCACGGGUGAGUAAUGUAUAGCUAAUGUGCCCCUUAGAGGGGGAUAACAGUUGGAAACGACUGCUAAUACCCCAUACUCCUUCUUCCUAUAAGGGAAGUUGGGAAAGUUUUUUCGCUAAGGGAUCGGGCUAUAUGGUAUCAGCUUGUUGGUGAGGUAAUGGCUCACCAAGGCUAUGACGCCUAUCUGGUCUGAGAGGAUGAUCAGACACACUGGAACUGAGACACGGUCCAGACUCCUACGGGAGGCAGUAGUGGGGAAUAUUACACAAUGGAGGAAACUCUGAUGUAGCAACGCCGCGUGGAGGAUGACACAUUUCGGUGCGUAAACUCCUUUUAUAUGGGAAGAUAAUGACGGUACCAUAUGAAUAAGCACCGGCUAACUCCGUGCCAGCAGCCGCGGUAAA